CGGAGGGUGCGAGCGUUGUCCGGAAUCACUGGGCGUAAAGGGCGCGUAGGUGGCUUGGCAAGCGUGUGGUGAAAGCCCGGGGCUUAACCCCGGGUCUGCCGUGCGAACUACCAAGCUAGAGUACUGUAGAGGCAGGUUGAAUUCCGGGUGUAGCGGUGGAAUGCGUAGAGAUCCGGAAGAAUACCGGUGGCGAAGGCGGCCUGCUGGGCAGUUACUGACACUGAGGCGCGACAGCGUGGGGAGCAAACAGGAUUAGAUACCCUGGUAGUCCACGCCGUAAACGAUGGGCACUAGAUGCUUGGGGGAGCGACCCUCUGAGUGUCGUCGCUAACGCAGUAAGUGCCCCGCCUGGGGAGUACGGCCGCAAGGCUG
rnacentral:rRNA from 1 species